AGCCCAGAGCCUGAAUCAGUGUGUGUGUUAGUGGAAGCGUCUGGAAAGGCGCGCGAUACAGGGUGACAGCCCCGUACACAAAAAUGCACAUGCUGUGAGCUCGAUGAGUAGGGCGGGACACGUGGUAUCCUGUCUGAAUAUGGGGGGACCAUCCUCCAAGGCUAAAUACUCCUGACUGACCGAUAGUGAACCAGUACCGUGAGGGAAAGGCGAAAAGAACCCCGGCGAGGGGAGUGAAAAAGAACCUGAAACCGUGUACGUACAAGCAGUGGGAGCACGCUUAGGCGUGUGACUGCGUACCUUUUGUAUAAUGGGUCAGCGACUUAUAUUCUGUAGCAAGGUUAACCGAAUAGGGGAGCCGAAGGGAAACCGAGUCUUAACUGGGCGUUAAGUUGCAGGGUAUAGACCCGAAACCCGGUGAUCUAGCCAUGGGCAGGUUGAAGGUUGGGUAACACUAACUGGAGGACCGAACCGACUAAUGUUGAAAAAUUAGCGGAUGACUUGUGGCUGGGGGUGAAAGGCCAAUCAAACCGGGAGAUAGCUGGUUCUCCCCGAAAGCUAUUUAGGUAGCGCCUCGUGAAUUCAUCUCCGGGGGUAGAGCACUGUUUCGGCAAGGGGGUCAUCCCGACUUACCAACCCGAUGCAAACUGCGAAUACCGGAGAAUGUUAUCACGGGAGACACACGGCGGGUGCUAACGUCCGUCGUGAAGAGGGAAACAACCCAGACCGCCAGCUAAGGUCCCAAAGUCAUGGUUAAGUGGGAAACGAUGUGGGAAGGCCCAGACAGCCAGGAUGUUGGCUUAGAAGCAGCCAUCAUUUAAAGAAAGCGUAAUAGCUCACUGGUCGAGUCGGCCUGCGCGGAAGAUGUAACGGGGCUAAACCAUGCACCGAAGCUGCGGCAGCGACGCUUAUGCGUUGUUGGGUAGGGGAGCGUUCUGUAAGCCUGUGAAGGUGUACUGUGAGGUAUGCUGGAGGUAUCAGAAGUGCGAAUGCUGACAUAAGUAACGAUAAAGCGGGUGAAAAGCCCGCUCGCCGGAAGACCAAGGGUUCCUGUCCAACGUUAAUCGGGGCAGGGUGAGUCGACCCCUAAGGCGAGGCCGAAAGGCGUAGUCGAUGGGAAACAGGUUAAUAUUCCUGUACUUGGUGUUACUGCGAAGGGGGGACGGAGAAGGCUAUGUUGGCCGGGCGACGGUUGUCCCGGUUUAAGCGUGUAGGCUGGUUUUCCAGGCAAAUCCGGAAAAUCAAGGCUGAGGCGUGAUGACGAGGCACUACGGUGCUGAAGCAACAAAUGCCCUGCUUCCAGGAAAAGCCUCUAAGCAUCAGGUAACAUCAAAUCGUACCCCAAACCGACACAGGUGGUCAGGUAGAGAAUACCAAGGCGCUUGAGAGAACUCGGGUGAAGGAACUAGGCAAAAUGGUGCCGUAACUUCGGGAGAAGGCACGCUGAUAUGUAGGUGAAGUCCCUCGCGGAUGGAGCUGAAAUCAGUCGAAGAUACCAGCUGGCUGCAACUGUUUAUUAAAAACACAGCACUGUGCAAACACGAAAGUGGACGUAUACGGUGUGACGCCUGCCCGGUGCCGGAAGGUUAAUUGAUGGGGUCAGCGCAAGCGAAGCUCUUGAUCGAAGCCCCGGUAAACGGCGGCCGUAACUAUAACGGUCCUAAGGUAGCGAAAUUCCUUGUCGGGUAAGUUCCGACCUGCACGAAUGGCGUAAUGAUGGCCAGGCUGUCUCCACCCGAGACUCAGUGAAAUUGAACUCGCUGUGAAGAUGCAGUGUACCCGCGGCAAGACGGAAAGACCCCGUGAACCUUUACUAUAGCUUGACACUGAACAUUGAGCCUUGAUGUGUAGGAUAGGUGGGAGGCUUAGAAGUGUGGACGCCAGUCUGCAUGGAGCCGACCUUGAAAUACCACCCUUUAAUGUUUGAUGUUCUAACGUUGACCCGUAAUCCGGGUUGCGGACAGUGUCUGGUGGGUAGUUUGACUGGGGCGGUCUCCUCCUAAAGAGUAACGGAGGAGCACGAAGGUUGGCUAAUCCUGGUCGGACAUCAGGAGGUUAGUGCAAUGGCAUAAGCCAGCUUGACUGCGAGCGUGACGGCGCGAGCAGGUGCGAAAGCAGGUCAUAGUGAUCCGGUGGUUCUGAAUGGAAGGGCCAUCGCUCAACGGAUAAAAGGUACUCCGGGGAUAACAGGCUGAUACCGCCCAAGAGUUCAUAUCGACGGCGGUGUUUGGCACCUCGAUGUCGGCUCAUCACAUCCUGGGGCUGAAGUAGGUCCCAAGGGUAUGGCUGUUCGCCAUUUAAAGUGGUACGCGAGCUGGGUUUAGAACGUCGUGAGACAGUUCGGUCCCUAUCUGCCGUGGGCGCUGGAGAACUGAGGGGGGCUGCUCCUAGUACGAGAGGACCGGAGUGGACGCAUCACUGGUGUUCGGGUUGUCAUGCCAAUGGCACUGCCCGGUAGCUAAAUGCGGAAGAGAUAAGUGCUGAAAGCAUCUAAGCACGAAACUUGCCCCGAGAUGAGUUCUCCCUUACGCCUUGUGAGUCCUGGAUGGACGUUGAAGACGACGACGUUGAUAGGCCGGGUGUGUAAGGGCAGCGAUGCGCUGUGCUAACCGGUACUAAUGAACUGUUAGGCUU
rnacentral:rRNA from 1 species